GUCGAGCGGUAAGGCCCUUCGGGGUACACGAGCGGCGAACGGGUGAGUAACACGUGGGUAACCUGCCCUGUACUCUGGGAUAAGCCCGGGAAACUGGGUCUAAUACCGGAUAUGACACUUGAAGGCAUCUUCGGGUGUGGAAAGUUCCGGCGGUAUGGGAUGGACCCGCGGCCUAUCAGCUUGUUGGUGGGGUAAUGGCCUACCAAGGCGACGACGGGUAGCCGGCCUGAGAGGGUGACCGGCCACACUGGGACUGAGACACGGCCCAGACUCCUACGGGAGGCAGCAGUGGGGAAUAUUGCACAAUGGGCGAAAGCCUGAUGCAGCGACGCCGCGUGAGGGAUGACGGCCUUCGGGUUGUAAACCUCUUUCAGCAGGGACGAAGCGCAAGUGACGGUACCUGCAGAAGAAGCACCGGCUAACUACGUGCCAGCAGCCGCGGUAAUACGUAGGGUGCGAGCGUUGUCCGGAAUUAUUGGGCGUAAAGAGCUCGUAGGCGGUUUGUCGCGUCGGCCGUGAAAACUUGGGGCUUAACCCCGAGCCUGCGGUCGAUACGGGCAGACUUGAGUUCGGCAGGGGAGACUGGAAUUCCUGGUGUAGCGGUGAAAUGCGCAGAUAUCAGGAGGAACACCGGUGGCGAAGGCGGGUCUCUGGGCCGAUACUGACGCUGAGGAGCGAAAAGCGUGGGAGCGAACAGGAUUAGAUACCCUGGUAGUCCACGCCGUAAACGGNGGGUGCUAGGUGUGGGGGGACUUCCACGUUCUCCGUGUCGCAGCUAA
rnacentral:rRNA from 1 species